rnacentral:hammerhead_ribozyme from 1 species
GAACUUCUGAAGAGUUUCAAAAUAGGACGAAACGGUCGUCCAGUGC